rnacentral:misc_RNA from 1 species
UGUUCAGAAGGAGAGAGAAGAAAAGCUUGCGCAGAUACUGAAAGAUCGACUUAACCAGUAUGUACAAGGGAACAAAGAGGAAUUUAUUAAUCAUGCUGAAGCUGAAGUAACUAAGCUAUCAAAUGCAGCAUAUGGUGUUGAUAUGUUGAAUACAAUUGGCUAUAUCUAUGCAAGACAAGCAGCCAAAGAGCUUGGAAAAAAA